rnacentral:tRNA from 1 species
GGCUAGCUCAGUUGGUUAGAGCGUGGUGCUACGCCAAGGUCGUCGGUUCGAUCCCGGCGUUGGCCA